rnacentral:rRNA from 1 species
UACGUAGGGUCCGAGCGUUGUCCGGAAUUACUGGGCGUAAAGAGCUCGUAGGCGGUUUGUCGCGUCGACUGUGAAAACCCGAGGCUUAACCUCGGGCCUGCAGUCGAUACGGGCAGACUAGAGUUCGGUAGGGGAGACUGGAAUUCCUGGUGUAGCGGUGAAAUGCGCAGAUAUCAGGAGGAACACCGGUGGCGAAGGCGGGUCUCUGGGCCGAUACUGACGCUGAGGAGCGAAAGCGUGGGGAGCGAACAGG